GGGUAUUUCUGAUAUACGUACAUAGGGUGCUUACAUAAAGAAACAGGUUUCCGGUACAGACAAACCUGUACGGGUAGAUACCGAUCAGCGCAGGUAUAAUAUUUCAAUAUCUUGUUCACUCACUUAUAAACAAACCGGUUGUAACUUGUCGGUGCCGACUACCUGGACCGUGCCAUUCGGGUUUAAGCAUUUACUGGUGUAGGGUGUGUUUAAUAAUAUUAAAAAUGGAUUUGGAUAACGAAGUUUUGAUAGCCCUAGUGUUUGAUAAACAAUGCUUAUGGAACAAAACUCAUAAGUUCCACAGCAACAGAAAUGUUACAGAUAAGUGUUGGAAAGAGAUCAGUUUGGAAAUGAAACAGGAUGAAAGUAAAAUAAGAAAAAGAUGGAGAUAUCUAAGGGAUCAAUUUGCGGUAGAGUUAGGAAAGAUUCCACGUUCUCGCUCUGGAGAUGAGGUAACUACAGUAUAUCCCAAAUGGCGAUAUUUUAAACCCUUACUUUUUCUCAAGCCUAUGGUGAAGGCGCGGUUAACCACUGGAAGUUUGACGCGACAAAGAUCUCAUUCAAAUAGUGCUGUGAGCCUUGAUAGUGAAACAGAAAACACCCAAACUACAAAUGACAAUGAUUGUUCUCUUUCACCUGAACCAAACAAUAUGGAAGAUAAUGAUGCGAGUGACCAACCAACAGUGUCUCCUGCGAUGCCCGUUUCAAAAAUCACUUUGAAAAGGCCGAAGAGAACAAUCAAUGACAAAUUAUUGGACAUUGAGCAUCAAAAACUUAAAUUUUUACAAGAUAAUGAAAAACCCCGACAUAAUAGAACAUCAGAUGCAGACAACGAACAUAUUUUAUUUUUUAAAAGCCUCAUACCACACAUUGAAAAAAUUCCACAGCACAUGCUACUUUCUUUUAGAAACCGCAUUCAAAGCGUUGUCGAAGAGUUCGCGUACCAAUCUUUGCAAUAUGGUAACCCUAGUUCGAUGUCAAACGACUCUUAUUCAAGUUAUGUUUCCCGUAAUAGUAGUGUGCGUUCGCGCAGCGGAAUGUUGUUGAAUUUAAAGAUUUUAAUUAUGCAGAUAAUUAGUGUAAGACGUCCUAUAAUUGUGUAUGGUAAAUAAAAAUUUGUGUAUGCAGCCAUUGUGGAGAAAUUCGCCAAAAACAGAUUCCGCUGGGCGAACGUUGGCAAACGUUGUCCUGGCGGAACUUUUUUUAAUCCAUAGACUUUAGAAGAAAAGAGAUGUGUCCGAAAAUUAGUGUGUAUUUGUGUAUAAUUGAUUAUGUAUGAAUGAAAUUAGUGCAUGCAUAAACUUCGGAGAAAUUCAAGUUUCCGCUACGCGAACGUUUGGCCAUUAGCUAGUUUUCAUAUAAAGCGCUUACAUAGAGAGCUGUAGAUUUUUACAUACGUUGUUUUGAAUUUGUUUAUAUUUGUUUAAAAAACAGAUUUAGAAAAAGUCGUAGGGUUUAAAAGAUAAAAAUAUAAACGUAAAAUACACUUA